UUUAUCUCCAGUGUGAAUGCGUUGAUGGCUUUUUAGGCUACUACUCUGAGAAAACGUUUUCCCACAUUGUUCACACCAGUACGGCUUCUCUCCAGUGUGAAUGCGCUGGUGAGAUUUAAGGUUACUACUCAGA